CUGCUCACUUUGGCAGCACAUAUUCUAAAAUUGGAACAAUACAGAGAUUAGUGUGGCCCCUAUGCUAGGAUGACACGCAAACUCAUGAAGCAUUCCGCUUUUUA